GUAGUUACCUUGCAGGGGAGANACCAUGAUCACCAAGGUAGUUUUCCCUGGACAAGGCAUUCCUGAUAUGCUUGAUNCCUGCAAUUUUCCCAAAUGCAAGAAACUUGACUGCAUAAUUUAUGGUAGUGGGAACUGUUCUUAGUUUCCCCU
rfam:Neotoma lepida isolate 417 scaffold_473, whole genome shotgun sequence.